CCCCCUGCAAGGUUAGCUGCUAAAUCUCCUGUGUCAGCAGGGUGCGCAGCGCAAACGCUAGCAGCCAGGAGCCUGCGGGUUCCGGAGGAGACAAGCUCCGGUUACCCGAUCCUGAAGCCCAGCCUCCUGAGUGCCGGCCUGCCAAGAGAGAGCCACUCGACCCAGUUUUUCCUUAACCCCAGAGGUCCUGAGGAUGUUGCUGACAGGCUAUAGACUACAAUGUGGAUGGAGGGCCACGGUGUGUGAGACCACCGUGCAACAGCUACAGAGUUGGAAAACUGUGCUCCCCGUCUUAAGAACGAAGAAGAAGAGCUCUUAAAGUCAGACGUGGACUAAUCGAAUGUAGACUAGUCGGUCACUGGUCUGGAGAGGGCUGAAGAAGAGGCGCAAGCCCACCAAGGGUUAACGUUGUUCAUUCAUCCCGGGAACCUAAGAACGAAAUCUAACUGCCGCGGACCUGAGUUUGAUUCCUAUCAUCUGUGACAGAAAGCACACAACCAUCUGUAAGUCCAGCUCCUUGGGGAUCUGAUCAACCUUUUUUGGUCUACACACAUACACACGAGAGACAGAGACAUAAUUUAGGACAUAAUAUUGUUCAUAAUCCCCCUAACGUUCUUCCUCCCUUCCUCCCUCAUUUGUAGUCAUUAAUAGUCCACUCCGCAUCUCCCAAACCCCUUAGCGGUAGGCCAUUGCUAAUAUGUUUUGUUUCUGUGGACUGUGUUGUGAUCAAAUGUAGGACCUGACUAAUUACCGUCACUCCCCCUGAGGUAGAACCCCUCGUCCCAGCCUUCAGACCAUUGGGCUUUCACAGUGCAUUCAUGCCCACCCAUGGACAGGACAGGAUGGGACAGCCUGGACAGGGUGACGACUGUCCACUCUGUGUAGCAGAGGGAGGGCUACCGGAGCUGUGACUGCCCUAGUCUCGUGCCUGCUAGCUUAAUGAGUCUGAAAGCGGGCUGAACCACGUGCCUCAGAAGUGACCUUGCAGUGAGCUUCUUCCACACUGCGUUUUUUUCUGUACUCUUUAGUCUGUAAUAUUAAAUAAAACAACAUUCUUAGUGCUGACUAGUGCCUGGUUCCACAU